GAGUGUGUGAGUGUGUGAGUGUGUGUGUGUGUGUGUGUGUGUGUGUGUGUGUGUGUGUUGGGGGGGGGCAGUAGACGUUGACAGUGUGCACAAGUUGAGGACAGUCGCUCGUGUGUGACAUCGAGUAGCGAGGAGUGGGAUAAAACCGUGUGAUUCUGAAAAACGUUGAACAAGUGACCCUAACGCUACGA